rnacentral:rRNA from 1 species
UGGGGAAUAUUGCACAAUGGAGGGAACUCUGAUGCAGCGACGUCGCGUGAGUGAUGAAGGAAUUCGUUUCGUAAAACUCUGUUCUAUGGGAAGAAAAGGACUGUACCAUAGGAGAAAGCUCCGGCUAAAUACGUGCCAGCAGCCGCGGUAAUACGUAUGGAGCGAGCGUUGUCCGGAAUUAUUGGGCGUAAAGGGUGCGCAGGCGGCUUUACAAGUUGGAUGUGAAAUAUUGUGGCUCAACCACAAACGUGCAUCCAAAACUGCAAAGCUUGAGUUAAGGAGAGGUAAGUGGAAUUCCUGGUGUAGCGGUAGAAUGCGUAGAUAUCAGGAGAAAUACCGGUGGCGAGGGCGACUUACUGGACUUAAACUGACGCUCAGGCACGAAAGCGUGGGGAGCAAACAGG